rnacentral:rRNA from 1 species
GAUGAACGCUGGCGGCGUGCCUAAUACAUGCAAGUCGAGCGAAUGGAUUAAGAGCUUGCUCUUAUGAAGUUAGCGGCGGACGGGUGAGUAACACGUGGGUAACCUGCCCAUAAGACUGGGAUAACUCCGGGAAACCGGGGCUAAUACCGGAUAACAUUUUGAACCGCAUGGUUCGAAAUUGAAAGGCGGCUUCGGCUGUCGCUUAUGGAUGGACCCGCGUCGCAUUAGCUAGUUGGUGAGGUAACGGCUCACCAAGGCAACGAUGCGUAGCCGACCUGGGAGGGUGAUCGGCCACACUGGGACGGAGGCACGGCCCAGACUCCUACGGGAGGCAGCAGUAGGGAAUCUUCCGCAAUGGACGAAAGUCUGACGGAGCAACGCCGCGUGAGUGAUGAAGGCUUUCGGGUCGUAAAACUCUGUUGUUAGGGAAGAACAAGUGCUAGUUGAAUAAGCUGGCACCUUGACGGUACCUAACCAGAAAGCCACGGCUAACUACGUGCCAGCCGCCGCUGUAA